AGUGAACGCUGGCGGUAGGCCUAACACAUGCAAGUCGAACGGCAGCACAGUAAGAGCUUGCUCUUACGGGUGGCGAGUGGCGGACGGGUGAGGAAUACAUCGGAAUCUACUUUUUCGUGGGGGAUAACGUAGGGAAACUUACGCUAAUACCGCAUACGACCUACGGGUGAAAGCAGGGGAUCUUCGGACCUUGCGCGAUUGAAUGAGCCGAUGUCGGAUUAGCUAGUUGGCGGGGUAAAGGCCCACCAAGGCGACGAUCGGUAGCUGGUCUGAGAGGAUGGUCCGCCACAGGGAAGCUGAGCCACGGUCCAGAGACCUACGGGCGGCAGCGGUGGCGACGGUUGGCCACUGGGGGCAAGCCUGAACCAGCCGCACCAGCUGGAUGAAGAAGCCCUUCGGGUUGUAAGGCCCUUUGUUGGGAAAGAAAAGCAGCAGGUUAAUACCCCGCUGUUCUGACGGUACCCAAAGAAUAAGCACCGGCUAACUUCGUG
rnacentral:rRNA from 1 species